UACGUAGGUGGCAAGCGUUGUUCGGAUUUACUGGGCGUAAAGGGCGCGUAGGCGGCCACUGCAAGUCAGUUGUGAAAUCUCCGGGCUUAACCCGGAAAGGUCAACUGAUACUGCAGGGCUAGAGUGCAGAAGGGGCAACUGGAAUUCUCGGUGUAGCGGUGAAAUGCGUAGAUAUCGAGAGGAACACCUGCGGCGAAGGCGGGUUGCUGGGCUGACACUGACGCUGAGGCGCGAAAGCCAGGGGAGCGAACGGG
rnacentral:rRNA from 1 species